AGACGGUAGAGAGACAGACAGACAGAGAGACAGACGGGUAGAGAGACAGACGGGUAGAGAGACAGACGGGUAGAGAGACAGACAGGUAGAGAGACAGACGGUAGAGAGACAGACGGGUAGAGAGACAGACGGUAGAGAGACAGACGGUAGAGAGACAGACGGGUAGAGACAGACGGGUAGAGACAGACGGGUAGAGAGGCAGACGGGUAGAGAGGCAGACGGGUAGAGAGGCAGACGGGUAGAGAGGCAGACGGGUAGAGGCAGACGGGUAGAGAGGCAGACGGGUAGAGACAGACGGGUAGAGAGGCAGACGGGUAGAGAGGCAGACAGGUAGA